AGACGAAGGUGACGACCGUUGCUCGGAAUCACUGGGCAUAAAGCGCGCGUAGGUGGCUUGGUAAGUCCAUGGUGAAAUCCCUCGGCUCAACCGAGGAACUGCCGUGGAUACUGCCGAGCUUGAGUACGGGAGGGGUGAAUGGAACUCUCGGUGCAGCGGUGAAAUGCGUAGAUAUCGAGAGGAACGCCGGCGGCGAAAGCGAUUCACUGGACCGUAACUGACACUGAGGCGCGAGAGCUAGGGGAGCAAACAGGAUUAGAUACCCUGGUAGUCCUAGCUGUAAACGAUGAGUACUGGGUAGGGUCGGUCCAAUGCCGGCCCUGCCGGAGCAAAUGUGUUAAGUACUCCGCCUGGGGAGUAUGGUCGCAAGGCUAAA
rnacentral:rRNA from 1 species